UCAUAGAAUUUCUUUAAAUUCAUGAUGUCGUAAGGGAAAAUAAUGAUAUUACCUUACUAUUAGUGUCGUCCAAAACUGGUGCCAGAAGACUCGGUAAGACCAGAGACGCAAACGUUAAUCAUCUUAAACAGGCGUAAAGGGUUUGUAGGCAGCUUUCAUAAGAUUAUUUCUUACAAAAAUAAAGAAGUGGUCUGAUUGAAAGCUAGAAUCAAAAAGAGGUUAUAGUGUAUAACGCCUAGAGGAGGGCUGAUAUCCUUAGAUCCUAGGCAGAAUACUUAGGGCGAAGGCCACUCUCCAUUAAUGAUUGACGCUGAGAAACGAAGGUAAGGGUAGGAAAUAGGAUUAGAUACCCCGGUACUCCUUUCUGUAAACGAUGAAUGGUAGUCAUUAGUAAAAAUAACUAGAGACGAAGUUAACACAAUAACCAUUCCGCCUUGUGAGUACUACUGCAAAGUAGAAAACAAAAAAAUUAGUCGGUCUCGAAGCAAACGGAGUGAAGCAUGUUAUUUA
rnacentral:rRNA from 1 species